GUCACACGUGUUGCAGUACCUGCGGACUUCCUGACUAACUCCCGGCCAAAAGAAACUCUGGGUCAGUUGGUGCCGGGUGCGACUGACUCCUAAAUGUCCGGAUAGCGGAAUAUCGUGCGCUAUCCGGAGUAACUCUGCGUGAUACCGUUGGGGGACCACUAGCUGCCUCAUUACAAUAGGGUCUGACCCAGCUACCUGCUU